AACGAACGCUGGCGGCAUGCCUAACACAUGCAAGUCGAACGAGACCUUCGGGUCUAGUGGCGCACGGGUGCGUAACGCGUGGGAACCUGCCCUUAGGUUCGGAAGAACUCCCCGAAAGGGGUGCUAAUACCGGAUAAUGUCUUCGGACCAAAGAUUUAUCGCCUUUGGAUGGGCCCGCGUUGGAUUAGCUAGUUGGUAGGGUAAAAGCCUACCAAGGCGAGGAUCCAUAGCUGGUCUGAGAGGAUGAUCAGCCACACUGGGACUGAGACACGGCCCAGACUCCUACGGGAGGCAGCAGUGGGGAAUAUUGGACAAUGGGCGAAAGCCUGAUCCAGCAAUGCCGCGUGAGUGAUGAAGGCCUUAGGGUUGUAAAGCUAUUUUACCCGGGAUGAUAAUGACAGUACCGGGAGAAUAAGCUCCGGCUAACUCCGUG
rnacentral:rRNA from 1 species